GAUGAACGCUGGCGGCGUGCCUAAUACAUGCAAGUCGAGCGAACAGACGAGGAGCUUGCUCCUCUGACGUUAGCGGCGGACGGGUGAGUAGCACGUGGAUAACCUACCUAUAAGACUGGGAUAACUUUGGGAAACCGGAGCUAAUACCGGAUAAUAUAUUGAACCGCAUGGUUCAAUAGUGAAAGACGGUUUUGCUGUCACUUAUAGAUGGAUCCGCGCCGCAUUAGCUAGUUGGUAAGGUAACGGCUUACCAAGGCGACGAUGCGUAGCCGACCUGAGAGGGUGAUCGGCCACACUGGAACUGAGACACGGUCCAGACUCCUACGGGAGGCAGCAGUAGGGAAUCUUCCGCAAUGGGCGAAAGCCUGACGGAGCAACGCCGCGUGAGUGAUGAAGGUCUUCGGAUCGUAAAACUCUGUUAUUAGGGAAGAACAAAUGUGUAAGUAACUAUGCACGUCUUGACGGUACCUAAUCAGAAAGCCACGGCUAACUACGUG
rnacentral:rRNA from 1 species